GAACACAUGAUUCCUGGGCAGUGUUUAUAAUAUCAGCAAUUUAUUGAGAGGCUGUCAUGGUCAGCUUCUCAACAUGUGUUAUCUUUAUCCUUGCAACAUCUAAAUGAGUGUGGGGAUGUACGGGUCCAAGACAAAGGGCCAGAAAGCCCUCAUUGUUCCUCUGGCCUAAGUAGGAUGCAAGAAAUUGGACUCGUUUCUUUGGAUUCAUGUGGGAAGUCCUGGCUCUGUCAGCUAAACUUCAGCUAUAACCUUUCAAAUCAUGACUGAUGGGAAAAUGAGGUCUGCCCUCAACAGCUUCUCCAAGAACACGGAGUCUGCUGAUGAGAAGGCAACUGGGAGCCAACAGAACCAGCCUGCUCGGGACCCGGCACCUCCUUUUCCCACCCAUGUGACUGGUUUCCUGUACAUCCAUUCACCGUCCAUUCAGCCAGUCAGUCAGCCAUCAUUAAUUCAUUCCAAACCCUUUGAGUGCCCACCAUGUACCAUCCCUGCACCAGGCUGGGAGGAUAAAAGACAAAUAGCAGCUAACUCCUGACUCUCAGGAGCUCACAGUCCACACAGUUAUGGCUGCCAAGCAGGGGCUCAAUGCAAAUAUAUUGAAUAAAUAUCAUAAAAACAUAUG
ensembl:lncRNA